GGGCGCAGCCUACCCUUAAAUAGGGAUCAACUGAUGAACCAUAGAAUAGAGCGCUGACAUCACGUGCGUCUAAAAAUAAAUUUUAGGCGGGAAGACUCGACGACAAUGUUUUUAUUAUCAAUUAUCGUGGAAAGAUGCGAUAAUUGCGAUCCUUAUUUCAUCAACUUUCUGUAUUUUGAUUAGGGCACUAAUAUAGCUGUGAUUGAUUAAUAGGUACUGACAUGUUAGUUUGAAUUAUGGAUCCUAUUAGUUUUUCUGGAGACGACGAUAAUAUAAUUGAAUUCCAAAAAAAUACCUUGCAAUUCGAAAAGGAACAAGAAGAGAGAUGGACAUCAUUUUUUUCAAAACAUUCAGUUGAUAUGGACUUGGAGUCUAUUCCAUCUGUUGGUAUAUAUGAAGUCCGAAAUGACUUCGAUUCAAAAAGCGAUGAGAACUCCUCAGUUGACCAAUCUGACGAAAUAAUUGAAUGCAAAAACAAUGUAGAAGUAGCAAAUGUGAGUAAAAAUAAUAGAAAAAAAGGGUUUCCUAAAAAAGUACCUACAGUCAUAAGGGUAAAUGAUGAAAAAACUGAUUCCUUACUUGAGCAGUCUGAAGAAAUAAUUAAAUCAGAAAGUCAUGAAGUACUUGAAAAUAUUGAAACCAUCAAGAAAAAUAAACUACCUAAAAUAGUUCCUAAAAAUAAAAUAAUAGGGUCAGAUAUAUUAUCAGUCAAUGCAAUUGAAAAAAGCAAUACAAACUUUAUUGUCGAACAAUCGAAAAGAAUCAUUGAAACUGAAAGCAAUGACGGAGAAAAUGUAGGAAAAAAGAACAAUAAAAAGGAGGUCUGUCAAAUGAUAUCUACAGUUACAAAUAGUUAUUCUAAAGGAUGUGGAUAUCAAUUAAAAUUAUCAGAUAAUAUGUCACAAAUAGUAAUCCAAAAAGUGCUGGUAAAUUUUAUUGAAGGUGAAUUGAAAAGUAGAUUAGGAUAUUAUUUUGUUUUCUUAUAUAGCUCUUGCAUACAAAGAGACAAAAAUCAGGGCCUAUGGAGAGAUGUAUUUGUGAAGGAGCUUAUUAAGGUGGGAAAAAAAGUGAAUAACAAGGACAUUCUUACAUACAUACAAAGAAUUUUUGAUCCUGCUAAACCUAUAAAUUCUAAAGCUCUUAUUGAUACAGUAGAAAAUAAAUAUAAAAGUGAACUAAGAUCAUAUUUUGAAAGAGCAUAUGAUAGUGAUCAUUCUUCUGAUGAGGAAAUUUGGAAUAAGAUACAUUUGGAAUGGAAUAGAUUGAAUAAAAAUAUUCCUGAAAAAUGUCUUUGUAUAUAUCAUAGACAACUAUUUGGUCCUAUUUCAAUCAUUAAUUCUUAAUUUUUAUUGAUGUUGUAAUGGAUGCUUAUAAAUGUUGAAAGAGUAAUACAAACACAUUUAUCUGAAGCAAGUGAUGAAAAUUGAAAACGACUUCUUCCUAGUGAAGAUCAUAUAAUGAAGAAAGACAGUUGAAGGCCUAAACUGUUUUAUAAUGUUUACUUGGGUCCAUCAAGUGGAGUUGAGUAUAUUCAAUAUCAAUAUCAAAUAUAUCAAAUAUGGAACUUAUGUUUAUUUUGUUAAAAUUCAGUGUAUAAUGUCUCAUUUUUUUAUGUUUUCCUAAUAAAACUUCAUUUUUUAAUUAUUAUUUCCAAUAGAAAAUCCUUUGAAAUCAUUGAAAAAAAUUGAAUUUAUAAAUUUAUAUCUUACUCAAUAUUUCGAAAACCAUAAUAAUAUUUGAGAAGCAUUAUUGAAGAAGAAAAAUCAAACACUACGUUAACAAAAAAAUUUAUUUUUUAUUUUCAGAGAUGACUAAUGAAUCUUGGAGUUUGGUACAUCCAUUAGUACGUUAAAUAUUCAUUUAUAUUUUUUAUUUAUUCAACAUUAGCAAGAAUUACAAUUACAAGGAUUCAUAAAAAAAAAAGAAGAAAUUUACAAUUGAUAAUGAACAUAAACUAUCAGAUAAAACUCUUAAAUAUCAACAAUAUCACAUAAAAUAAACAACUCAGUAAUUUCUACAUAGGUACAAAUAUUCUUUCUUUAAAACAACUUGGGAAAUGUUGAAAAUGUCAAUAAAGAAAUGUGCUAGUCAUAAAACCACAUGGUUCUAAAAAAAAUGGAGUUAUUACAUUAUCUCAGUGAACACGAACAAGAAACACGUAUAUUUCGAAUACUCUGUGGCAGACUGUGUUUUCUAAUAGUUGUGAUGAUGAUAGUGAUCAAAUUGUUUGUGAGUUAUGAAUAGUAAGAUCUGAUUGAUAGAUUCUACUAACUGCUUCAUUAAAAUUCUCUGGGGUCAUCGAAAUUUCAACAAUUAAUUAUUAUUAUGACCAUUCAUUUUAAGAUAUUUGUUCAUUUUUUUAUAAUUAUACUUAUGCGCAUACUAUUGCGACUGAACGUGCGUCGCGGCUCCCCACCGAAUAUUACAAACAUCAUUGUGUAUGUUGCAAAUUCCAGCUGUUGGAUUCAGUCCACACAAAGUCGUGGGACGGAUAGCUGAUUUUCAGGUAUAAUUGGUGGCUGGCGUUUGCGUAAUUUCCUUUAAUUUUUCUUCCCGUGAUCCUAUUUCCUCCUUUAUCGUGGCCUUCCCAUCUGUGGUAAGUCUUCCUUACAGGCCCAAGGAAGUGAAGGGUUUACUUGUUUUCCUUGCAACCCUUUAAUUUUCUUCAGAUUCUUUGAGAAAGUAUCAGUAUGCCUCAGAUUUGUCCUGUCUGUUCUAAUAUUACUGAAGGCGCUGGUCCGACGCAUCAGUGCUCUGUAUGUAGAAAACUUUUUCAUUUAAGAUUCGUUAAUUUAUCGGAAACGGAGGUCGAUUAUAUGAGGGAUUCUAACACUAAAUGGCGGUGCCUCACUUGUGAUUCUCGUGAACGAACUCUUCGUGGCAAGUCUCAGGGAGAUCAAUCAAUCACUAUGGAGCAUUUUACGCUCCUUAUGCAGCAAAUAACGACAAUUGCGGAAGAAGUCAAAUCCAUAAGAGAUAACCAGGCUGUGUUGGUUGAGGAACUCGCAAAGUGCCGUACUACACCAGGGAACCAUUCUUCUGUUCUGUCUGAGCAUAGGAAUGAGAUCGAUGAAUGCCAUGCUAAAAUAGCUGCGCAAGAUGAUCGUCAGUCAAGUCUUAGCAGACAUUUGAGAAAGUCCAGCAGGAAGUCAAUGUUUUGGGAAGCUCUUCUCCUCGUGGGGGACCGCAGUCUGUCAUAUCGUCGUUUAAUUUGAUCCUAAAUAAUGUUCCGAAAAAUUCGUCCAUGGAGGGUGAUAAUCGGAAGGCAUCGUAUAUUUUGCGCUCAAUUGGGGAAAUGUGUCUGUUCAAACGAUUAGAACAAAACGUCUGGGUAGGAUUUCGAAUUCGAGGACAAGAGUCACGCUCCAGAGUGCUAUGGAUGUGAUGUCUUUGCUGGGGAAUAGGAAAAAAUUACUGAACAAUGAAACUUAUAAACGUGUUACUGUCACGAAUGAUAAAACACCAAUCCAACUUGUCGAACUGCAGUGCCUACGGAAGGAGCUCAAAACCAGAGAGGCGAAAAGUGGAAGAGACAUAACUAUCAAGUAUAAAAAGGCAUUCCAUCUAUCGAUACUUGAGUUGCUUCAUUAAAAAACUAGCCCUUACAGUGAAUGAGUGGAAAUUUAUUUACACCAAUGGUCAAUCCCUUCAAAGCUCAAAACUUUCUGAAUUUUUGGUCUUCGUACAGUCGUAUAAACCCUUUAUCAUUUUCAUUUCCGAAUUCUGGCUCCAACCCUCUGUAGCAGACUCUGUUGUUAAUAUUUCAAAUUACCAGCUUUAUAGAGCUGACAGUACUACCACAAAAGGACAUGGACGAGUUUGCAUUUAUUGAGGGAAAUUUCCUUUUUUUUUCUACAAUCUCUGCCCAUCGCGUUGAUGUUUCUGGAAUUGAUAACAUCUUCGUUGAUAUCAUGUUUGGUAGUCUCCAGUUAACUAUAGGCUGUGUUUGACAGUAUAUUUUCUGCCCAUUUGGCCUCCCUAUCUAGAGAGAAAAAGAAUCUGCUUAUUGUAAUAAGCAGAUUCUAUUUCUCUCUAGAUGAAGUCUCCUGUAGGAGACUUCAACCUUCCUAACAUCGAUUGGCCUCUUGGCGGCUGCCUGCCUAUCUGAUCGCCUUCAUAUUUUUAUGCAGAGAUAGUCCUUGAUUCGAGUCUUGUUCAGCUUGUGACCGGCCCCACUAGAUUCCGAGCCGAUCAGAAUUCAUCUCUGUUGGAUUUGAUAUUGGUUAAUGAUGAAGACCUUAUCUCAGAUAUCAACUGUUUACCCCCAUUUGGAAAAUCUGACCAUUUAACACUUGAAUCAAAAAUUCAGUUUACUACAUCGAAGAAGACCAACAUUGUCAGGAGAAUGAUUAAGUCCAUCGAUUGUGAUUCAAGUUUGAAUAAUAUUCCUAAAAUUGAAGAAAUAAUGUUGCGCGGUUGUGAACAUAUCCAGCCCCAUUUUUUCUGAAGAUAUUUUCUGAAUGUUUUAUUAUUUUGUCUUAAAGUUCAUUAGCCAAUAUAAAUGGAAAAUAUGAAGAAACUAGUGUGUAGUGAAGCAACGGUUAUUUGAAUAAUAUGUAUUUCGGCAAAGUAUUAUUGUUUUCAAUUCAUAAUAAUCAUUCUUCUUAAAUGUUAUUUUAAAAUUUUUUUAAUUAUGUAUAAUCCAUUCACCAGGUCAGAGGGGUGCUCAGCUUAAAUAUGAAGAUAUUUUCCAACCUUUUAUUAAAUUCCUAUUAUUUGGAUUUGUUUCUAAAUAUCAAAAAUAUUCAGUAAUACUGAGAAAAAAAUUAUGUUCAUUUUUCAUCAUAUUUUUUUCCUCAAUAAAUAUCACAAGUAUUCACGAAAUACUUCUGGUUACCUACAUUUGAAAGGAAUGUUUUAGAGGGCGCAGCCUACCCUUAAAUAGGGAUCAACUGAUGAACCAUAGAAUAGAGCGCUGACAUCACGUGCGUCUAAAAAUAAAUUUUAGGCGGGAAGACUCGACGACAAUGUUUUUAUUAUCAAUUAUCGUGGAAAGAUGCGAUAAUUGCGAUCCUUAUUUCAUCAACUUUCUGUAUUUUGAUUAGGGCACUAAUAUAGCUGUGAUUGAUUAAUAGGUACUGACAUGUUAGUUUGAAUUAUGGAUCCUAUUAGUUUUUCUGGAGACGACGAUAAUAUAAUUGAAUUCCAAAAAAAUACCUUGCAAUUCGAAAAGGAACAAGAAGAGAGAUGGACAUCAUUUUUUUCAAAACAUUCAGUUGAUAUGGACUUGGAGUCUAUUCCAUCUGUUGGUAUAUAUGAAGUCCGAAAUGACUUCGAUUCAAAAAGCGAUGAGAACUCCUCAGUUGACCAAUCUGACGAAAUAAUUGAAUGCAAAAACAAUGUAGAAGUAGCAAAUGUGAGUAAAAAUAAUAGAAAAAAAGGGUUUCCUAAAAAAGUACCUACAGUCAUAAGGGUAAAUGAUGAAAAAACUGAUUCCUUACUUGAGCAGUCUGAAGAAAUAAUUAAAUCAGAAAGUCAUGAAGUACUUGAAAAUAUUGAAACCAUCAAGAAAAAUAAACUACCUAAAAUAGUUCCUAAAAAUAAAAUAAUAGGGUCAGAUAUAUUAUCAGUCAAUGCAAUUGAAAAAAGCAAUACAAACUUUAUUGUCGAACAAUCGAAAAGAAUCAUUGAAACUGAAAGCAAUGACGGAGAAAAUGUAGGAAAAAAGAACAAUAAAAAGGAGGUCUGUCAAAUGAUAUCUACAGUUACAAAUAGUUAUUCUAAAGGAUGUGGAUAUCAAUUAAAAUUAUCAGAUAAUAUGUCACAAAUAGUAAUCCAAAAAGUGCUGGUAAAUUUUAUUGAAGGUGAAUUGAAAAGUAGAUUAGGAUAUUAUUUUGUUUUCUUAUAUAGCUCUUGCAUACAAAGAGACAAAAAUCAGGGCCUAUGGAGAGAUGUAUUUGUGAAGGAGCUUAUUAAGGUGGGAAAAAAAGUGAAUAACAAGGACAUUCUUACAUACAUACAAAGAAUUUUUGAUCCUGCUAAACCUAUAAAUUCUAAAGCUCUUAUUGAUACAGUAGAAAAUAAAUAUAAAAGUGAACUAAGAUCAUAUUUUGAAAGAGCAUAUGAUAGUGAUCAUUCUUCUGAUGAGGAAAUUUGGAAUAAGAUACAUUUGGAAUGGAAUAGAUUGAAUAAAAAUAUUCCUGAAAAAUGUCUUUGUAUAUAUCAUAGACAACUAUUUGGUCCUAUUUCAAUCAUUAAUUCUUAAUUUUUAUUGAUGUUGUAAUGGAUGCUUAUAAAUGUUGAAAGAGUAAUACAAACACAUUUAUCUGAAGCAAGUGAUGAAAAUUGAAAACGACUUCUUCCUAGUGAAGAUCAUAUAAUGAAGAAAGACAGUUGAAGGCCUAAACUGUUUUAUAAUGUUUACUUGGGUCCAUCAAGUGGAGUUGAGUAUAUUCAAUAUCAAUAUCAAAUAUAUCAAAUAUGGAACUUAUGUUUAUUUUGUAAAAAUUCAGUGUAUAAUGUCUCAUUUUUUUAUGUUUUCCUAAUAAAACUUCAUUUUUUAA